AAAGCUGCUGGAACACUGGAGCCUGGAGAACGUCCAGCAGGAACAUGGAAUGGUUUUCACACGACAGUAAUUGGUCCUGCUCCUGCUCAGAUUAGUUCUACUUGGUCUUCCAGGGCCACCGUCCAGCCUGCAAUAGAGGUUUUCUCUGCUCCAACACAACUGGCCUUAACCAGCAGGUGAUCGACAGGCUUCUGCAGAACCUGAUGGCCUGCUGAACAGGUGUGAUGGAGCAGAGAAACAACUCAAACAUGCAGCGUGGAGGCCCUGUUGGACAGGGUUGGAGACUCCUGCUCUAACUCAGGCCAGGAAGCUGCCCAUCAUCCUACCAAAAUAAAAGUGGAAUGGUUUUAGUAUCCUGGUGGAUGAGGAGAGAUGACCGACGGAGCAGGGUGCUGACCCGGUUUUCCUCCAUAAGGUACAGCUCAACUUCAGAGGGGAGGAGGAGCUCAGAGUGGAGCCGCUGCUCCUCCCCAUUAAAAGGAGUCAGCUGAGGAGGUCUGAACAGUUAGGAUGCUUUCCUAUGAUGGGAUCUGGAGCACUGGGAGGGAAGUUCAGAACCUGCUGGAUGGGUCACAUGUCCCCUUUGUGAUCCGCCAGCAAAAGCAGUGGUUCCUGGUCCUCCUGCAACUCAUGGCCACACAGGAACUACCUAUCACACACACACACACACACACACGCACGCACGUAUGCGUGCACACACACACACACACA